UAUUUAUGUUUUUGUUUAAAGUGUUGCUUUACAUAAUUUUUUUUUUUAAAUUGGAAGGCAGAGUGGUGAGCCCCCAGUCCCCUGGGUGCUGGAAUUACAGAUUUGUACCUAUAGUUUGAAGUAGUUUAUAUGAUAAGACUUAUGAUAAAUUAAAUUAUACCUAUAAACUAAAGUGUUCUUAUAGUGGAUACCAUUUUGUAGAACAUCCUCCAAAAGAUGUUAAUCAGAUUAUAAAGCUAAUGAGUGCAGAGCGUCAAGUAUUAUCAUUCUCCCUAGAUUACCAGUUGUAGCUCAGGGUAAGGAACAGAAGCCAGUUUGCCCAGCCAGCAUCACAUAGCUAGAGGGUGUUAAGCCUGUGGUCAUCUAAUCUCAGCCCAUGUCUUUAGUAAACUGACUUGAAAUAUGAUGAACAGAUACAUGUAUUCCUUGUUUGCUAUCUAGUCAGCUAGGGUACAGGAAAGAAUAGAAGUAUAGUGACCUCAAAAUGGCUAUUGAAGACAGUAAGACAGACAGAUGGGUGACUCGACCACAGCCCCACUCAGGCAGUUGUUUCUGUCUCUGUCUGCUUGUUACUUGGUGAUUGAAGAGCCAUCUGACCAGAUACUCAGUUCAGCCCUUUUAGACAGUUUCAGGCCAUCCAUGAAGGAGAAGUACUCACAGGUAGAAAAAGAACUAGGAAGACCACCUGAAGUCCGCUUCUCAAGAUGGUUAUGACAGUCUGCCUUCCUUUGGUCAGUCAGUAGCAGGGUUCUUGCUAUGCGGGGCUGCAUGGUGUUACCACAUGAAGUGAUGGGCUCUGCUCCUUUCCAUUAGCUUCAGGAGUCUAGCCCUGGCCCUGCAGUCAUGCUGGCGGAGCUGUCUUCCCUUCAUAUACUUCAAGUUGUUAGGCUAUAUUUUCUGUCGCAUUAAAAUUGUAGCUUAAAACUUUACUUCGCCAAGUCUUGAUAGUCUAGCUCCCAAGUUUGAAAUGUUCAUUGAUAGCUUCAUCCCCUGCUUUUGUCUUUGAGGUAUACCAUGGCAGACCUUCUUACCUUGGAACCUUGGAGGCUUUAAACCUUUGGCAGCCUGGGCAGUGGGGUUCAGGAAGUACUAAGGAAGGGCAGUGUGUGUACUUACACUGAAGUUUCAGAGGCUACCAGAAUCUUUAGUACCAGUUCUUUUCUGUUACACUGUUUCCUGUGUUACCAACUGAACUCCAGUAACUCUGAUUUAGAGCACCUAUUCCAUAGAUGUUCACUAAGACUCAAGGUAGCUUUGAGAACAAAGAAUCGUGUUUGAUACAUUGAAAUAACACUGGUAAUUAUAGUAGCCCCAUUUCAGAAAGGCAGUUUUGUUUUUUCCAGAAAGUGCAUCCUCUUAGUCCUCUGAGUAAGUCUGCUCACUACAGACCUACCUUGUUUAAGAACUUCAAAAUUGUUGGGAGAAAUAAGGUAAAGACUUACUGUAGCAGUGCUACAGGGAAUAAAUAAGGUAAAGACUUACUGUAGCAGUGCUACAGGGAAUAAAUAAGGUAAAGACUUACUGUAGCAGUGCUACAGGGAAUAAAUAAGGUAAAGACUUACUGUAGCAGUGCUACAGGGAAUAAAUAAGGUAAAGACUUACUGUAGCAGUGCUACAGGGAAUAAAUAAGGUAAAGACUUACUGUAGCAGUGCUACAGGGAAUAAAUAAGGUAAAGACUUACUGUAGCAGUGCUACAGGGAAUAAAUAAGGUAAAGACUUACUGUAGCAGUGCUACAGGGAAUAAAUAAGGUAAAGACUUACUGUAGCAGUGCUACAGGGAAUAAAUAAGGUAAAGACUUACUGUAGCAGCGCUACAGGGAAUAAAUAAGGUAAAGACUUACUGUAGCAGCGCUACAGGGAAUAAAUAAGGUAAAGACUUACUGUAGCAGCGCUACAGGGAAUAAAUAAGGUAAAGACUUACUGUAGCAGUGCUACAGGGAAGCUGGUGCAUGUUGUUCACUUUCACUUGCCAUUUUUUG